UACGGAGGGUGCAAGCGUUAAUCGGAAUUACUGGGCGUAAAGCGCGCGUAGGCGGUUACGUAAGUCGGAUGUGAAAGCCCCGGGCUCAACCUGGGAAUUGCAUUCGAUACUGCGUGACUAGAGUCUGGUAGAGGGUAGCGGAAUUCCAGGUGUAGCGGUGAAAUGCGUAGAUAUCUGGAGGAACAUCAGUGGCGAAGGCGGCUACCUGGACCAAGACUGACGCUGAGGUGCGAAAGCGUGGGGAGCAAACAGGAUUAGAUACCCGAGUAGU
rnacentral:rRNA from 1 species